AAAAAAAAAAAAAAAAAAAGGAUGGGAAUGUAAAUGUGAAAUGGUCAAAACUACUGUCUAAUUGGAAACGACAAAGCAUUUGCCGAUGAUAAGUCCCUUGAACAAUUCCAGCUUGCCUCACCUUCUCUGACUCAAUGUCUCAAGACUUCAAUAGGAAGCCCAUGGCAUCUCCAAUGGUAUCAUCUCUGGAACGACCAAACUUGACUCAGACCAACCAACUUUCUCCACCAGCUUAGCGAUUAGGUCGCCUACUAUAUAAGAAGCACCUGAGGCCAUGACCCCUAUGAGCACAAAGUGCGAUAUAGUGCUGAUAUAACGCUUGGGUUGCCGUCUAGUGUAAGCCUUUCCAAUGGCAAGUAAAAUAAUGCAUACAAGCGAAGCCCCUCCAACCACUGCAAGCUUGAGAUCUCUAUUAUCACUCUUACGAAAUGAGAAGCCAUAAACGACAGGAGGCAGCAUACCAAAAAUAAGGAAUGAUAAAAUAGCAACAGUUGCAUGAAGUAAAAAAUUCUCCCUUCGUCCUAGUGUUUCUUGGUAACGGUCCUCGUGCUGCUCAUUAAUUUGGUUGGAAGAUCCACCAGAGGCAUCGUUUUUCAGAUCAAUAAGCUGUAAGACAUCAUUGUAAGUUUAAAAUGCCAUGAAAGUAGAUGAACAGAAAACAGACUUCAUUUUAAUUUAUACCUAUCAAGGUUUGAAGUGUAAAGAUAAACCCAGCAGAGAUUUUCAAAUACAUAGCAGAAUGAGGAGCGAUUUAGAAUCAAUGCUUGGCAUGCAAAUUUACUCGAAAAGAAAAUCAUAAAACACUAAGAAAGGGAAUAAGCAGGAAAAUAACCAACGUGUAACAGAAUUGGUGUUGACAAUACUAAUGUCUCAAAAGAUAUCCUGAAAAUAAAAGGCCUACUUACAAAAUAAUGAUAAUAAUAAUAAUAAAUUGCAAUUUAAUCUAAGCUAAUUAGUUGCAGUUUUAUUCAAUAGACCAAAAUUAAACUUUCAAUUUGAUCUAAUUAACCAAAAUUAGCAUUAAAAUUAUUAACAUCUCUCUCUCACUAGCUGAAUUUGUUAAAAUUAGAAGUCUGGUUUUAAUCAAUUCGAUAAAAUUGCAAUAAAUAUAUUAAAGUAGGCCAAAGUAUCAAUUAAAAGAUCUGGGAUUUUUUUUGUAUAUCAGAAAGUGCAAAACAACUAGAAAACUGGGUAAGGUAACUUGACUACAUUUAAUGACGGUGUUAUUUGAUCAAUGCAUCAGACAAGUCUACAUAACAAACUAUUACAUGACUUAUCAAUUACCAAUAUAAAAGACUGUUGAAAGUCGAAACCGUAAAAGGUUUUAUAUCUCUGUAGUAAAUCUGUUGGAAUGUAAUACGACCAGAAGCCAGUGUUUUGACAACUGGGUUCGAACAGUCCAGCCAGAAACUAUAUCUACGACCAGUUUGGUUUGGGCUUUCCAUUUUCAUUUUUUACCUAAAAAAAUUAUGCAUCUUUUUCAAAUAUUUCAAUUGUGUUUAACAGUUUCUGACCAGGUUAAACAAAUGGAACUGGUAGUCCUUUCAGUCCACUAGCACUGACUAAUCCAGUUAUCAAAACACUGCCAAUGAAGUCUUUCACAUUACAGGGCAUGCUUUGAGAGGGUGUGCGGUAUUCUGAAGGUGUGUUCCUUAAGGGUUCAACUGUAUAAAGCAAAAAUCAAGGGAGUAAAAGGCCUCCCAUUUUCAUCAAUACAACUUGAAUACAUUUGUCCUUCCAUUGUUAUAUUAUUAGAAUAAACUUUUAAGAAGAUUAAUACACAGUUACACAGUGCUGUUACGGGAUAUUAAAUAUGAUGCUCAUUACUUAAUAAAGACAUGGAAAAUCACUCACAUUGUGACCAAUGAUGAAAAGUCCACCGAUCAAAUUUGCUAAUCCCAGCGCUAAAAUGUUCCCUGCAGAAUUUCGAGGUCAACAAAGUAAAAAGUAGCUGCUCAGUUAAUUCUGCAAAAUUAUAGAAGAGAGGAUUUAAAAAAGAUAAAAAUUUGAGUAUAGCAGAUUACUUUUACACUUUACAGUACACAAAAGGACAGUAUUCUUGAUACACUGUAAUUAAGUCUAACACAACAUUUUAAUUUUGUAUGCAUACCCUUUCCAGACACGACUAAUUAAGCCAUAAAUUUUUCUUAGUGAUGUGUCACUUAUGGAAAUUACGUCAUAAUCUUUCAGCAAAACUAAUGGCAUAGUUUUUCUUAUCUUGGCAAACAUGUAGAUUUGACAUUCAUCAGUAAUUCAUCAUUUGAUAUGAUUAGAAAAAUUUGGCAGGAUUUGAAGUAUAACCACAAAUUCUUUACAUACCAAAGAAUAGCCUUUGUAAAUCGUUUAUCCCAAGGAAGUUUAUGACUGCAAACCUUAGUCAAACAUAAUUCAUGGGUUUCACAUUCUGUAUAAGAUAAUAUUAAAUUUGAAACCUGAUGAGCUAGAUGAAUCUGUUCAGUAAGUUGAUCUUUACUGUAGAUUAUCAUACAGGAAAAAAAUGCUUACAUGUAGCAGAACCAGCACCCGC
rnacentral:misc_RNA from 1 species